rnacentral:rRNA from 1 species
GACGAACGCUGGCGGCGUGCUUAACACAUGCAAGUCGAACGAAAAGAGGGAAAGAGCUUGCUCUUUCCGGAAUUGAGUGGCAAACGGGUGAGUAACACGUAAACAACCUGCCUUCAGGAUGGGGACAACAGACGGAAACGACUGCUAAUACCGAAUAAGUUCCAAGAGCCGCAUGGCCCAUGGAAGAAAAGGUGGCCUCUACCUGUAAGCUAUCGCCUGAAGAGGGGUUUGCGUCUGAUUAGCUGGUUGGAGGGGUAACGGCCCACCAAGGCGACGAUCAGUAGCCGGUCUGAGAGGAUGAACGGCCACACUGGAACUGAGACACGGUCCAGACUCCUACGGGAGGCAGCAGUGGGGAAUCUUCCGCAAUGGGCGAAAGCCUGACGGAGCAACGCCGCGUGAGUGAUGACGGCCUUCGGGUUGUAAAACUCUGUGAUCCGGGACGAAAAGGCAGAGUGCGAAGAACAAACUGCAUUGACGGUACCGGAAAAGUAAGCCACGGCUAACUACGU